UACGGGGGGUGCGAGCGUUGUCCGGAAUCACUGGGCGUAAAGGGCGCGUAGGCGGCGUCGUAAGUCUGUGGUGAAAGCCCGGAGCUCAACUCCGGGUCUGCCGCGGAUACUGCGAGGCUUGAGUGCUGUAGAGGGGGGUAGAAUGCCGGGUGUAGCGGUGGAAUGCGUAGAGAUCCGGCAGAAGACCGGUGGCGAAGGCGGCCCCCUGGGCAGUAACUGACACUGAGGCGCGACAGCGUGGGGAGCAAACAGG
rnacentral:rRNA from 1 species